rnacentral:rRNA from 1 species
AUGAGGUCACCGCCGACGUUGAGCGGCCAGAUCCGCUGGUGCUGGUGGACGUCCGGCGGUCGGCGAGCAACUGCCGACUCAUCUUCCGCAAGUGUAUUUGGUCAUAUCGGCGCUUCAACUCACCAUGUCAGAUCCCCUUGCAAGAGGCCGCUCUCACCAACGAAAUAUGCUGAGUCCACUGGGAAGGUUAACCCAGAGGCACCAGGGCGGACGAGGAGGCUUCGAAUUGGGCGCGCUCCCCUUGAUAGAGUUCCGUGUGCUGGUAGAGUAACUCCAUUGGAAGAAACCAUAAGGAGAUAUGCCGACAAACCUACAGAAAGUGUAGUAAAGCCGCAGAUUGGGAUGAGUUUUGAUUCCCUUGGGGAAGCUUAUGAUUUUUAUAAUCUAUAUUCGUGGGAGCUUGGAUUUGGUAUACGAUAUGGCAAGAGUCGUCUCAAUGUUGAGAGGACUAAAUGUAUGCAAGAGAUUGUUUGUGGAUGCUCGGGGAAACUUGAGCAGCAGAAUAGCAGAUCUUGCCGUUGCGAGUGCCCUGCGAUGGUGAGGUUACUAAGAGCUGCAGACAAUGGAUGGUACAUUGCUGAGCACCGGGCAAGCCACAAUCAUUCGCUAUCUCUUACAUGCGGGGAAAAGGUUCACUGGCCAUCCCACAAACACACAGAUGUGUACACAAAGGAUCUCGUGAAACAGCUUAGGGAAAACAAUCUGAACCUCAACAAGGUGUAUAGCAUAGUUGGGAGCUUCUUCGGAUCAACACAGAGCGUGCCUUUUACAAAAAGGUCAUUGCGCAAUCUGUGCGGGAGAAUAAGCAGAGACCAAGCUGAUGAUGAUGUCAACAAAACCCUUGCCGUCUUCAAAGAGAUUCAGCAGAACGACCCGGAAUUCACAUAUAGGGUCUAG